rnacentral:rRNA from 1 species
ACACUCCUGCGGGAGGCAGCAGUGGGGAAUAUUGCACAAUGGGCGCAAGCCUGAUGCAGCCAUGCCGCGUGUAUGAAGAAGGCCUUCGGGUUGUAAAGUACUUUCAGCGGGGAGGAAGGCGAUAAGGUUAAUAACCUUGUCGAUUGACGUUACCCGCAGAAGAAGCACCGGCUAACUCCGUGCCAGCAGCCGCGGUAAUACGGAGGGUGCAAGCGUUAAUCGGAAUUACUGGGCGUAAAGCGCACGCAGGCGGUCUGUCAAGUCGGAUGUGAAAUCCCCGGGCUCAACCUGGGAACUGCAUUCGAAACUGGCAGGCUAGAGUCUUGUAGAGGGGGGUAGAAUUCCAGGUGUAGCGGUGAAAUGCGUAGAGAUCUGGAGGAAUACCGGUGGCGAAGGCGGCCCCCUGGACAAAGACCGACGCUCAGGUGCGAAAGCGUGGGGAGCAAACAGGAUUAGAUACCCGUGUAGUCCCAUG